CGGGGUCGGUGUGUUGAUGGCGGGUGGCUGCGUCUCGCUAGUGGCUGGUGUCGCGUCCCUCUGGUGUGUUGCAGUCGGUGUCUCGUUGUUGGUGGGCAUCAGGUUGUUUCUUUGGGCCUCGGGGGUCGUUCCGAGGCCCGGAGGAAGGUUGGGCGGCUUGUAAGUGGGGCCAAAUGCUGCCGCGAGGGUCUCGAUGGCCCUUUCUAUUUCGAGCUCAGUAGGCGAGCUCCUGGUGACUUGUUUUUGUUUUCCCUCAUUAUUUUUGGAUGGCCCCUUAUUUUUUUUGAGUUCGGGGCUAGUUCGGGCCAAGAGGUUUGAAUCCAGGCCUCCCAUUGGCUGUUGGCCAUUCCAAGAUGGCCGCCGCGAAAAAGGCAUGAAAAUAGACUUGGCUGCUUCUGGCGUGCUGAGUUGGGGUGGCUCCUCUCUUACUGGGAUGGUGGCUUCUUGGGUUGGUUCCGGUCCUUCAGUCGCUGCUCCACGGCUCUCGAGUAGGCUCUGGAGAUUCGCGACAAGGUCCUCAUUAGAGGCGGGCAUUUCCAUUAUUUUCAGUAUGGCUUGUCUGAGGUCAUCAUUCUCUCGUGAUGUGCCUCUGUAGUCAUCAUUUUCUUCUUCCCGCUGUUCCUCACCCUUGGAUGGCGUGCUCAAGUCGAUGGUCCGCACAUUCGCAGUUGGGGUAGUCUUUGGAGUGGCUCCGGUGGACGUUAGUUGCGCUGCCAUCUGCCUGGUAAAAGCUCUGGUGUUUAUUCUGUUCUUCGUUGAGUACACAGCUUGCUCAGACAUGGCUGGGAGUUAUGGGCAACCCUCCUCUGCUACCAUUUUGUUAAUUGGGAUCUAGCCCAAUAACUCACAAUACAAAAUAGCAAUUGUUGCAGUUUAUUUAUUUGUAGUUAUAAAUAUAUCACAGUCCUAGAUAUGCACUAGUAACUGACCUAUGUCUUUCCUUCUCAGGUAUAUGGCUGGAACUGACCUGGUGCCCAUGUGGACCAUCCUUUUAUACCCAGGGGGAGGAGUCAAGCGACCACCUCGAAGCCAAGAGGAACAUACGGACCAAAUUUCAAGUUUGUAGGCUUUACGGUUCUGGAGAUUUCGUGAUGAGAAAAGAUGCUUGAAGAGGAUGGUAUCAUCGGGGCAGCCAUGAUUCCUCUGGCACCAACAGCCAAUCAAAGGACUUAGAGGCUGUAAACACCUCCACUGACAACAACCUCCCAGAAUCAUGGAAUACCAUCAUAACCACCAUCAAUGAAUCAAGAAGGAUGUCAGCCAUCCUUCCCUGCACAACAAUGUAUUUGAAUUAAUUUGGUUUUCCUGUUUCUCUUAAUCUUUUCUUCCUUGACUAAAUUAUAAAGAUAUUAAAUGAUGAUUAUUGUUAUUAUUUAAAUAUUAAAUCGAUUCCACGUAUGGUGCAGAAAAACCCAGAUGGCGGCAGUCAGUGUGUGGACUCUUGAUCUUGGAGGUUGCAAAAAGUGAGUGGAUCAAGAACGUCAUUGUACUUAAAAUAUAAUGGAAAUUUCUACAGACAAAAACACAGCUGCGCCAUGGGUUCACCUGUGCCCCAUGUUGAGGCCAAUCUCUACAUGGAAGAAGUAGAAAGCAGAGAAAACCGGAAGCAUCAUGGUGAGACUGGCUAAAAAAUAGCAGGCUCCAACGAGCCUCGCGAAAAUCCAGCCAGACAAACCGCUGUUGGGAGGUCUUCGGACCAGAACCCUCCUGUGGGGACGGUGAAGAAGGAGAGGUGCCUCAGAUGACCAAGAGAAACAGGCAAGUUCCUUGAGAGAUCAGAGGCAGCUCUUUGAACUGGCAGUGGGAGUGGCAGCCAUUAAAAAUGACCGCUUUGAAGCUCAGGCAACCGGAAUAAGAUUUUGUGCAGGAGCGGUGUUUGAAUGGAGUACUAAUUUUGAUAGUUUUGAAAUUUGAAGGAAGAACAAAGAGGAGGUUAAAAUAUUAAAGCCCAAGAAAGGAAAUUUUACAACUGGAUUUAAAACUGAAUUUGUAGAAAUUAAAAUCAAUAAAAGGAAAAUAAAUUUGAGAGAAAGUAUUUUCUAUGUGAAUUUAAAAUACUUUUGCAAGCUGGAUACUUUGUUGUUCUGAGAAUUGUGGAUUGGAGAGAGACAUCUGCUGGUGGAAAGAAAGCACUACAACGACCGGCUUAACUUGAAAGAAAUAACAACAAUGACCUUGAUCACUACAAGAGCUGUGAGAAAUUUUAAGGAGUAUUUGUUUCUACUUAAACCUGCUUGGCCUCGAUUUCUAAAGGAGGUGGAAAACAAUAAAGCUUUAAAUUGGAGUGGAUUGAACAAACAUUUGUAUUGGAUAUCAUCUGGAAAUAAAAAAGAGACUAUAUGAACUUAAA